rnacentral:tRNA from 1 species
GUGGCUAUGGCUCAGUGGUAGACUGCUUGCCUAGCAUGCAUGAGUGAGGCACUGGGUUCCACCCACAGUACCACA